GGCGCCCCAGAGCGGAAGCCAGAGCUGCUGGGACUGGCUUCUGGGGGAAGGUAGUCGUCUUUGAAGCUGGAAAAACAGAUCCAGAGUGAGACCCGCGAUUCUUCAUUUCUAACAAGUUCCCUGGCAAUGCUGAUGCAGGUUCAAAGACUUACCAGUCAAAGGAAAAUUUGAUGGAGGAGAACUUUUGAGGAUUCCACAUUUAACACAUUGAA